UAAGGAAUAUUGGUCAAUGGACGAAAGUCUGAACCAGCCAUGCCGCGUGGAGGAUGAAGGUCCUCUGGAUUGUAAACUUCUUUUAUCUGGGACGAAAAAGGUCUUUCUAGAUCGUCUGACGGUACCAGAUGAAUAAGCACCGGCUAACUCCGUGCCAGCAGCCGCGGUAAUACGGAGGGUGCAAGCGUUAUCCGGAUUCACUGGGUUUAAAGGGUGCGUAGGUGGGUUGGUAAGUCAGUGGUGAAAUCUUCGAGCUUAACUCGGAAACUGCCAUUGAUACUAUCAGUCUUGAAUAUUGUGGAGGUUAGCGGAAUAUGUCAUGUAGCGGUGAAAUGCUUAGAUAUGACAUAGAACACCAAUUGCGAAGGCAGCUGGCUACACAUAUAUUGACACUGAGGCACGAAAGCGUGGGGAUCAAACAGGAUUAGAUACCCUGGUAGUCCACGCCCUAAACUAUGGAUACUCGACAUACGCGAUACACUGUGUGUGUCUGAGCG
rnacentral:rRNA from 1 species